AUUGCCAAGUAAAAGCUAUUUUUCAACCCCAGGUGUCACUGGACUGCCUCCACCGUGAUGGCAUGUGUUUUGAAUUUUAGUCAGAGGAAAGGAGCAUGUUUAGGGUUAGGGGUUAGGUUAGGGUUAAGGUUAGUGAACAUCAGGGGUUGGGUUAGGGUUAGGUUAGGGUUGGUGAACAUCAGGGUUAGUGAACAUCAGUGGUUGAUCAUGGCCUCGAACUCAUCGAUCCUCUGCUUGGUGUUGCCUUUGCGGAUCCUCUUGUAGGACACAGUUUUGUACUUUGCCGACUGCUGGCUUCCGCUCUUCUUCUGGGGGUUAGGGUUAGGGUCCUGGACGUCUCCCGUCUCCUUCUGCCUACGUCGGGAACACACUACUUCUUCUUCUUCACCCACAGACGUCUGGGCACCAGCGUCCAUCAG